rnacentral:rRNA from 1 species
AUUGAACGCUGGCGGCAGGCCUAACACAUGCACGUCGACCGGAGUGGCGGACGGGUGAGUAAUGACUAGGAAUCUGCCUGGUAGUGGGGGAUAACGUCCGGAAACGGGCGCUAAUACCGCAUACUAUCAGAUGAGCCUAGGUCGGAUUAGCUAGUGGGUGGGGUAAAGGCCUACCAAGGCGACGAUCCGUAACUGGUCUGAGAGGAUGAUCAGUCACACGGGAACUGAGACACGGUCCAGACUCCUACGGGAGGCAGCAGUGGGGAAUAUUGGACAAUGGGCGCAAGCCUGAUCCAGCCAUGCCGCGUGUGUGAAGAAGGUCUUCGGAUUGUAAAGCACUUUAAGUUGGGAGGCGUUACCAACAGAAUAAGCACCGGCUAACUUCGUGCCAGCAGCCGCGGUAAUAC